rnacentral:lncRNA from 1 species
CCGAGAAUGGAGAGAAUUGGAGCAUGGGACAGAGGCAGCUGGUCUGUCUCGGGCGUGUGCUGCUCAAGAAGAGUAAGAUCCUAGUGCUAGAUGAAGCUACGGCAUCAGUUGAUACAGCUACCGAUAAUCUGAUUCAGACAACCUUAAGGGAGCACUUUUCUGACUGUACAGUCAUAACAAUUGCACACCGGAUCACUUCUGUUCUUGACAGUGAUCUGGUUCUGCUUCUAAGCCACGGUUAGCACGGUUGUGUUAUCUAUCACUUGCUUGUAGGAUCCUUUGAACUUCAUUUCGUUUAAAACUUUUUCUAACUGUCCCAGGACUUGUCGAAGAAUAUGAUUCUCCCGCUAGAUUGCUGGAAAACAAGUCUUCAGCUUUCGCACAGCUUGUAGCCGAGUAUACUGUGAGAUCAAAUUCAAGCCUGGAGAAGUUCGACUGAAUUAGAUGAUCACGAAAAAUAUAUGGUCGGUACUCAUUGGGAAUGUUUUGUACAAGACAAGCCUAGUAGUUUCCUGGGCUUCAAUAAACACUAGUUGUAUAUUUUCCUUUUCUCUCUUCUAUCAGUCUGCCAUUAUUAAGUUACAAAGAAUUUUUAAGACAUAUGUUACGUCAAGAAAAUUAAUGUGAAAAAUUGUCAAAAACACGUGCGAAGAAAAAAAUAUUAUUAAUAUAAAGUCAACAAUUGGGUGGUGGGCCACACGUCCGUUAGUGGGGCCCAUUUCAAAAAGAAAGUGUCCAGAUUAGUAUCCCCCAAGUUUUCGUGGUGUGCAAUGAGGAUACAAGUCGAAGCAAAACUGUGAGGCUUCAGUACGGCGCCGUUUUUAUUGUCGCUUUCCGGUUUUUGGUCAGACUGGCGGGAUUUGAGUCUCCGGUUUGGUUCACCGCCAGGUGUCUGAACAAUGGCGGUUGAUAAGUUCCAACGGUUUUUUGUUAGAGUUUCCCGGGUUUUUGUGGUUCCUACUAACUUACUAUUUCAUGGUUUGAGAAAUAUUUUAAAAUUGUUUUAAAUUUAUUUAUAAUAAAUAAAAAAGACUUUUGAUACCCACAAUUAUUAUUAUUUGAGUUAUCAUCAAAUUAACCAAUGAACAUUAAUUUUUUUUUUAAUGAGAAAAGAGGGACAUUAAGUUUAAAAUAAUAAUAAAAUAAAUUUUUUAUUUAUUUUUAAAAAUUAUUUUUAUUUUAAAUUUUAAAAAAAUCAAAUCUCAUUAUCAUACAUCAAUCAAUAAAUUAAAUACUUAUAUAUUAAUUUUAAAAAUUAUUAAAAUAAUAAAAAAAUAUCUUUUUAAGUAACCGUAAAAUUAGAUUUUGAUAAUCUUUUUUAUAAAUAAAAAAAAUUAAUUCUUGAAUUAAAAAAAGGUUUUUUUUCUUUAUUGGUAAUGCGAGAGUUGUAAAAAUUUCAUUAGAUAAUUUUGCCUAACGAAAAGGUGUUUCUUUUGGCUUUUUUCUUAUUUCCCUCGCUACAGAGUCACUCUCACUCUAUAUUUCUAUUUCAUUGUAUAUCUCUUAUGUUUUGUCUCUCUCUCUCUCAAAGCUCACACCUUUCCCGGAAAGCCUCCAAUUUUUUAAUGUUCUUGGGCUAUCUUUUGAGGCUUAAGCCUCCCUUCUCCUUUGCUCUCUCCGUCUCUCAGGUCUUGGUCUCCACGCAUACCCCUUCCCCAAGUAAUCUUUUUUUGGCUUUCUCCUUUUGAGUCCCGAUAUUGACUUUAACGCUCCUUUUAAGGCUCGUUGAGAUAUAAACUCAAAAACAGGAACUCUCAGACACUUACGCAAGCAAAAUCUUCUCCAACACUGAAAACCCAAGUUUUUUCUUCAGUAAAAAGUCCAAAAAGAAUGAAAUUUUUUGCUUCAGAAUCAUUUUUGCUAAUGAGUUCAGCUUCUAGUUUUGAUUUUCUCCUAAAACCCAUGUUUCUUCAUGGGUGUUCUGCUUCAUUGCACCUAGUUUUAUUGCUUUUCUUGCUGGUCUUAUGGGUAGUGAACAGAGUUAAAGAAGCUGGUGGGGAAGGAUCAAAGGAGAGGUUAAGGCCAACGAAGGUUUUAUGGUAUAAGCAAACUUUAGCUUGUUGUUUUAUUGUUUCGGCUUUCAAUACUGUCUUGUGUUUGUUAAGUUAUUUUUAUUGGUAUAGAAAUGGUUGGUCUGAGGAUAAGUUAGUGACUCUUUCUGAUUAUGUGGUAAAAACACUUGCUUGGGGUACAACGUGUGUUUAUUUGCAUUAUCAGUUCUCCGAUUCUUGUGAACAAAAGAAGUUCCCAUUAUUGUUGAGAAUUUGGUGGGGUUUUUAUUUUUCAAUUUCUUGUUAUUGUCUUGUUAUAGACGUUGUUCUUUACAAAGAACAUGUUUCUUUCCCAAGUCAGUAUUUAGUAUCCGAUGUUUUUUCUGUUGUUACUGGUUUCUUCCUAUGUAUUGUGGGGUUUUUCGGAAGAAAUGAGGGUGAAGAUACCCUCCUUGAGGAGCCCCUUUUGAAUGGAGAUUCUAGUGUAGGUAAUGGUGUAGAGUUGAGUAAGAAAAAAGGAGGUGAUACUGUAACCCCAUAUUCAAAUGCUGGUAUUUUCAGCAUUCUUACAUUUUCUUGGAUGGGGCCUCUCAUUGCUGCUGGCAAUAAAAAACCUUUAGACCUCGAGGAUGUUCCUCAGCUAGAUAGCAGUGAUAGUGUUGUUGGGGCUGUUCAAAAUUUUAUAAACAGGCUUGCCUCAGCUGACAGUGAGGGGAGUGGAGUUACCGUGCUUAAGCUGGUGAAGGCACUACUCUUCUCAGCUUGGAAAGAUAUUCUUUGGACAGCUUUGUUAGCGUUUAUGUACACUGUGGCUUCAUAUGUUGGCCCAUAUCUCAUUGACACUUUUGUUCAGUACCUGAAUGGGCAGCGGGAGUUUAAAAAUGAGGGGUAUCUUCUGGUUAUGGCUUUCUUUGUUGCAAAGCUAGUAGAGUGCUUAUCGCAGAGGCGCUGGUAUUUUAAGUUGCAGCAAAUAGGAAUUAGGCUGAGGGCAGUACUGGUAGCAAUGAUUUAUAACAAGGGUUUAACCCUUUCGUGCCAUUCAAAGCAGAGCCACACCAGUGGGGAGAUCAUCAAUUUCAUGACUGUUGAUGCAGAGAGGGUGGGUGAGUUUUGUUGGUACAUACAUGAUCUAUGGAUAGUAGCUUUGCAAGUUGCUUUGGCCUUGGUGAUCUUGUAUAAAAACCUUGGAUUAGCAUCCAUUGCAGCUUUUGUUGCAACAGUGCUUGUUAUGUUGGCAAAUAUUCCUCUCGGGAAAAUGCAAGAGAAGUGUCAGGACAAGUUGAUGGAAUCUAAAGAUAAAAGGAUGAAGGCAACAUCUGAAAUUUUGAGGAACAUGAGAAUUCUCAAACUUCAAGGGUGGGAAAUGAAGUUUCUGUCAAAGAUUAUUGGGCUCAGGAAUAUUGAGGAAGGAUGGUUAAAAAGAUUUGUUUAUACAAAUGGCAUCACUAGUUUUGUUUUCUAUGUUGCACCCUCAGUUGUGUCUGUAGCCACUUUUGGUGCUUCUAUUCUUUUAGGAGUCCGACUUGAGUCUGGGAAGAUCCUAUCUGCGCUUGCAACGUUCAGGAUUCUUCAAGAGCCAAUCUACAGUCUUCCUGACACAAUUUCAAUGAUAGCUCAGACAAAGGUGUCUCUUGAUAGAAUUGCUUCCUUCCUCCGCCUUGAUGACUUGCAGCCUGAUGUUAUAGAGAAGCUUCCAAAAGGUAGUUCUGAUACUGCAAUUGAGAUUGUUGAUGGGAAUUUUUCUUGGGAUUUCACUUCUGCUACUGCAACGUUAAAAGAUAUAAAUUUGAAAGUUUUCCAUGGUAUGAGGGUUGCUGUUUGUGGUACAGUUGGCUCUGGCAAGUCGAGUUUGCUUUCCUGUAUUUUGGGGGAAUUACCCAAGAUAUCUGGAACUCUUAAAUUGUGUGGUACAAAGGCCUAUGUUGCUCAGUCACCCUGGAUACAAAGUGGCAAGAUUGAAGAGAACAUAUUGUUUGGCAAGGAGAUGGACAGGGAGAGGUAUGACAGAGUGCUUGAAGCUUGUACCCUCAAGAAGGAUCUUGAAAUCCUCUCAUUUGGUGAUCAGACCAUUAUUGGUGAGAGGGGAAUCAAUUUGAGUGGUGGACAGAAACAGAGAAUACAGAUUGCACGUGCUUUAUACCAAGAUGCUGAUAUCUAUCUCUUUGAUGAUCCAUUCAGUGCUGUGGAUGCUCACACAGGAUCUCAUUUAUUUAAGGUAACAUUUUUCUACUCUAAUACUGUGGCAUGUGUUUUUAAAGUUACUUUUAGUCUAUGCAGAAAGGUAUACUGCUCUAUGUGAGGUUAAUUAAUUGAAACGCUAAUAUUUGCAUUUUUGUCAGCUUGUUAUUUGUGCUUUGCCCUUUUAUUUUUGAGCUUUCUUCUUCAGUUAUUGCUUUGCCUGAGUAUCUCUGUUUGAUCUUUGAAUGACAGGAAGUUUUACUUGGCAUUUUGAGUUCAAAAACAGUGAUUUAUGUCACUCAUCAAGUUGAGUUUUUACCAGCUGCUGAUCUAAUCUUGGUAAAGCUAUUUACAUUUUCAGUGAUUUUAAUCCUAUACCUUGGAGGGUAAGCAAUAAUAUAAUUACUGGAUUCAACUUGUACAUUUUUGUUAGGUCAUGAAAGAUGGCAGGAUUACACAAGCUGGAAAGUAUAAUGACAUUCUCAAUUCAGGAACUGACUUUAUGGAACUUGUGGGUGCACAUAAGAAAGCUUUGUCAGCCCUUGAUACUGUUGAUGCAGGAUCUGUUUCUGAAAAAAAUAUCAGUGAGGGAGAUCCUACUACGGGAUGUGCCAAUGGGAACGUGCAGAAAGAAGAUAACCAAGGUAAUGAGAGUGGUAAAGUAGAUGAUGUCAGGCCAAAAGGACAGCUUGUUCAAGAAGAGGAGAGAGAAAAAGGAAAAGUUGGGUUUUCAGUCUACUGGAAGUAUAUCACAACAGCAUACGGAGGAGCUCUUGUGCCUUUAAUAUUGCUUGCACAGAUUGUCUUUCAGAUUUUUCAAAUUGGCAGCAAUUAUUGGAUGGCCUGGGCGUCUCCCGUGUCUGCAGAUGUCAAACCUCCAGUUGGGAGCUUUACACUAAUAAUUGUCUAUUUAGCUUUGGCCAUUGCUAGUGCCUUUUCUGUCCUUGCCAGAGCCAUGCUUCUUCGUACAGCUGGAUACAAAACAGCCACUCUUCUCUUCAAAAAGAUGCAUUUAUGCAUUUUCCGUGCCCCUAUGUCUUUCUUUGAUUCCACACCAAGUGGAAGAAUACUAAACAGAGUUAGUAUCUAAUGUUUUCCUCUAUGGAUUUUAAAUAUUCCAUUUUAAUUUUUUGGGCGGCAUUCCUUCCUUGUUUUUUAAGGAUUCUGUUAUUGUCCUGCCUCUUUUAGGCUUCUACAGAUCAAAGUGCUGUGGAUUUGAACAUUCCGUAUCAAGUUGGUUCAUUCGCCUUUUCAGUUAUCCAGCUCCUUGGAAUCAUCGCAGUCAUGUCUCAGGUUGCUUGGCAGAUCUUUAUCAUUUUUAUCCCUGUGAUUGCUACCUGCAUUUGGUACCAGGUAACCCUUGUCACCUCAUAUAGUAUGCUGUCUGUCGAAUUGUGGCUAUAGAAUGCAUAACCUUAUAAACUUGCAACCAUGAAGCUAUUUAUUGUAAAUCUCAAAGUCAUUUGAAAAAACAUUCCACCUUGCAUAAUACUUGGACAUAGUAAUUCUCAUAAACUUGUAAUCUUGCAGCAAUAUUAUAUAUCUUCUGCACGAGAACUUGCACGAUUGGUUGGAGUAUGCAAAGCUCCAGUGAUACAGCAUUUUGCUGAAACAAUUUUAGGAGCAACAACUAUCAGGAGCUUUGAUCAAGAGUCAAGAUUCCAAGAGACAAGCAUGAAACUAACUGAUGGGUAUUCUCGUCCAAAAUUUCAUGCUGCUGCUGCAAUGGAAUGGCUGUGCUUCCGCAUGGACAUGUUGUCUUCUAUUACUUUUGCUUUCUCUUUGUUCUUUUUGAUCUCUAUACCAGAGGGAGUUAUUGACCCAGGUAAUUGAUUUCAGAUUGGCAUCUUUAUUGACUACAAUGUCAUUGUAGAUAACAGAUGUUAGAGGAGAAUGACUGAAGUUUUUUCUUUUGUUUAGCCAUUGCUGGUUUAGCUGUGACGUAUGGACUCAAUCUAAAUAUGUUGCAAGCUUGGGUAGUUUGGAAUAUUUGCAAUAUGGAGAAUAAAAUUAUAUCUGUUGAGAGACUGCUUCAGUACAGUAGUGUUCCUAGUGAGCCUGCCCUUGUGAUAGAAACUAAUCGCCCGGACCAUUCUUGGCCAUCUCAUGGAGAAGUUAAUAUUCAUGAUCUGCAGGUAAUGCAGUUAUGUGGUGUUUAUGACUCUAAGUUGUUAUGUGUUUUUGAAAUAAAUGAUGAUGUUCGAUGUAGGUGCGGUAUGCUCCACACAUGCCACUCGUCUUGCGAGGUAUGACCUGCACAUUUCCAGGAGGGUUGAAAACUGGCAUUGUAGGUAGAACAGGGAGUGGUAAAACAACUCUCAUACAAACACUUUUCCGCAUAGUUGAACCUGCAGCGGGUCAGAUUGUAAUCGAUGGUGUCAAUAUCUCAACAAUUGGACUGCAUGAUUUGCGGUUAAGACUCAGCAUCAUCCCUCAGGACCCUACUAUGUUUGAAGGGACUAUACGGAGUAAUUUGGAUCCUCUUGAAGAGUACACAGAUGAACAGAUUUGGGAGGUGGGUUCAUUUCAUUUUGUUAUGAGAGAAAAGCAUUUCUAGUCUGUACCAUUUCUUUUCUAAUAAAAUGCAUAGUCUUUAUGAUUGAUAUUUGAAGUCUGAUAUGUGUUGAUGUAUGUUUUGAUUUUCAAAGGCACUGGAUAAGUGCCAACUUGGGGAUGGAGUUAGAAAGAAGGAAGGCAGGCUAGAUUCUUCAGGUAUGAUCUUCUAUCAUAUAACAUAAAAAUUGGUUAUCUUUUUCUUUUGAACGUCAUCCAAGUUGUUUCAAAUCUACUGCUAAAUUCAACUAUUUAAAGAAAUUUUAAAGGAAUAUAACACUGCUUCUGCAGUGACUGAGAACGGAGAGAAUUGGAGCAUGGGUCAAAGGCAGCUGGUCUGUCUCGGGCGUGUGCUGCUCAAGAAAAGUAAGAUCCUAGUGCUUGAUGAAGCUACGGCAUCAGUUGAUACAGCUACCGAUAAUCUGAUUCAGACAACCUUAAGGGAGCACUUUUCUGACUGUACGGUCUUAACAAUUGCACACCGGAUAACUUCUGUUCUUGACAGUGAUAUGGUUCUGCUUCUAAGUCACGG